rnacentral:rRNA from 1 species
UGGGGAAUAUUGCACAAUGGGCGCAAGCCUGAUGCAGCCAUGCCGCGUGUAUGAAGAAGGCCUUCGGGUUGUAAAGUACUUUCAGUCGGGAGGAAGGUGGUAAGGUUAAUAACCUUAUCAAUUGACGUUACCGACAGAAUAAGCACCGGCUAACUCCGUGCCAGCAGCCGCGGUAAUACGGAGGGUGCAAGCGUUAAUCGGAAUUACUGGGCGUAAAGCGCACGCAGGCGGUUGAUUGAGUCAGAUGUGAAAUCCCCGGGCUUAACCCGGGAAUUGCAUCUGAUACUGGUCAGCUAGAGUCUUGUAGAGGGGGGUAGAAUUCCAUGUGUAGCGGUGAAAUGCGUAGAGAUGUGGAGGAAUACCGGUGGCGAAGGCGGCCCCCUGGACAAAGACUGACGCUCAGGUGCGAAAGCGUGGGGAGCAAACAGG